GAGUUUGAUCUUGGCUCAGGAUGAACGCUAGCGGCAGGCUUAACACAUGCAAGUCGAGGGGUAGAAGUCUUCGGACUUUGAGACCGGCGCACGGGUGCGUAACGCGUAUGCAAUCUGCCUUGUACAAAGGGAUAGCCCAGAGAAAUUUGGAUUAAUACCUUAUAGUAUAUUGAUGUGGCAUCACAAUGAUAUUAAAGAUUUAUCGGUACAAGAUGAGCAUGCGUCCCAUUAGCUAGUUGGUAUGGUAACGGCAUACCAAGGCAAUGAUGGGUAGGGGUCCUGAGAGGGAGAUCCCCCACACUGGUACUGAGACACGGACCAGACUCCUACGGGAGGCAGCAGUGAGGAAUAUUGGUCAAUGGGCGCAAGCCUGAACCAGCCAUGCCGCGUGCAGGAUGAAGCAUCUAUGGUGUGUAAACUGCUUUUGUACGGGAAGAACAACUCUUCGUGAAGAGUCUUGACGGUACCGUAAGAAUAAGGAUCGGCUAACUCCGUGCC
rnacentral:rRNA from 1 species